AGUCGUAACAAGGUAUCCGUAGGUGAACCUGCGGAUGGAUCAUUAAUGGAUUUUUUUCAAAGUCUUGUGCACCGUUUUUUUUGGAUUACCUUGCCUGUGCGUGCGUGUGCUUGCUUGCGUGUGCGUGUGCGGGCAGCGGUAGUCUAUAACAACUACUACACGUAUAUCACUUAUAAACUGACGUCUACUCUUAAAGUAGUAGUAAACAAUGUAAAUACAACUUUUAGCAACGGAUCUCUUGGCUCUC
rnacentral:misc_RNA from 1 species